rnacentral:rRNA from 1 species
AGAGUUUGAUCCUGGCUCAGGAUGAACGCUGGCGGCGUGCCUAAUACAUGCAAGUCGAGCGAACGGACGAGAAGCUUGCUUCUCUGAUGUUAGCGGCGGACGGGUGAGUAACACGUGGAUAACCUACCUAUAAGACUGGGAUAACUUCGGGAAACCGGAGCUAAUACCGGAUAAUAUUUUGAACCGCAUGGUUCAAAAGUGAAAGACGGUCUUGCUGUCACUUAUAGAUGGAUCCGCGCUGCAUUAGCUAGUUGGUAAGGUAACGGCUUACCAAGGCAACGAUGCAUAGCCGACCUGAGAGGGUGAUCGGCCACACUGGAACUGAGACACGGUCCAGACUCCUACGGGAGGCAGCAGUAGGGAAUCUUCCGCAAUGGGCGAAAGCCUGACGGAGCAACGCCGCGUGAGUGAUGAAGGUCUUCGGAUCGUAAAACUCUGUUAUUAGGGAAGAACAUAUGUGUAAGUAACUGUGCACAUCUUGACGGUACCUAAUCAGAAAGCCACGGCUAACUACGUGCCAGCAGCCGCGGUAAUACGUAGGUGGCAAGCGUUAUCCGGAAUUAUUGGGCGUAAAGCGCGCGUAGGCGGUUUUUUAAGUCUGAUGUGAAAGCCCACGGCUCAACCGUGGAGGGUCAUUGGAAACUGGAAAACUUGAGUGCAGAAGAGGAAAGUGGAAUUCCAUGUGUAGCGGUGAAAUGCGCAGAGAUAUGGAGGAACACCAGUGGCGAAGGCGACUUUCUGGUCUGUAACUGACGCUGAUGUGCGAAAGCGUGGGGAUCAAACAGGAUUAGAUACCCUGGUAGUCCACGCCGUAAACGAUGAGUGCUAAGUGUUAGGGGGUUUCCGCCCCUUAGUGCUGCAGCUAACGCAUUAAGCACUCCGCCUGGGGAGUACGACCGCAAGGUUGAAACUCAAAGGAAUUGACGGGGACCCGCACAAGCGGUGGAGCAUGUGGUUUAAUUCGAAGCAACGCGAAGAACCUUACCAAAUCUUGACAUCCUUUGACAACUCUAGAGAUAGAGCNNNNNNNNNNNNNNNNNNNNNNNNNNNNUUCCCCUUCGGGGGACAAAGUGACAGGUGGUGCAUGGUUGUCGUCAGCUCGUGUCGUGAGAUGUUGGGUUAAGUCCCGCAACGAGCGCAACCCUUAAGCUUAGUUGCCAUCAUUAAGUUGGGCACUCUAAGUUGACUGCCGGUGACAAACCGGAGGAAGGUGGGGAUGACGUCAAAUCAUCAUGCCCCUUAUGAUUUGGGCUACACACGUGCUACAAUGGACAAUACAAAGGGCAGCGAAACCGCGAGGUCAAGCAAAUCCCAUAAAGUUGUUCUCAGUUCGGAUUGUAGUCUGCAACUCGACUACAUGAAGCUGGAAUCGCUAGUAAUCGUAGAUCAGCAUGCUACGGUGAAUACGUUCCCGGGUCUUGUACACACCGCCCGUCACACCACGAGAGUUUGUAACACCCGAAGCCGGUGGAGUAACCUUUUAGGAGCUAGCCGUCGAAGGUGGGACAAAUGAUUGGGGUGAAGUCGUAACAAGGUAGCCGUAUCGGAAGGUGCGGCUGGAUCACCU